rnacentral:rRNA from 1 species
AACGAACGCUGGCGGCAGGCUCAACACAUGCAAGUCGAACGGGAGUAUCGAAGAAGCUUGCUUUAGAGAUACUUUAGUGGCGGACGGGUGAGUAACGCGUGAGGAGCUGUCCGAUGCAGGGGGACAACAGUUGGAAACGACUGCUAAUACCCCAUAAGCCGAGAGGUAAAAGGAUUUAUCCGGCAUGGGAGGUACUCGCGUCCUAUCAGCUAGUAGGUGAGGUAACGGCUCACCUAGGCGAAGACGGGUAGCCGGCCUGAGAGGGCGAACGGCCACACUGGAACUGAGAUACGGUCCAGACUCCUACGGGAGGCAGCAGUGGGGAAUAUUGGGCAAUGGGGGGAACCCUGACCCAGCGACGCCGCGUGGGUGAAGAAAUCCUUCGGGAUGUAAAGCCCUGUUGUAUGGGAAGAGCGGAAGACGGUACCAUACGAGGAAGCCCCGGCAAACUACGUGCCAGCCGCCGCAGUAA